UUAAAUGCCCAGUUUUUAAUUUGUGGAAAUGGAUUUUGGGAUUAACCCUAUACUUGUGUAUCCCGGAAUUGUGACUAGGAUUACCGGCACUUGGUCAGGAGCACCCGGGGAUUUGGAAUCUCCAUAUUUGUGGGACAUCAGGAAAGGGUAAAUCUAUCUCUGAUCAACCAUGACUAUGGGAGUUGGGCGAUGUAUGUACAUGUUCGGGCCACACUAGACCAAGCGGGUUGGGGUCUACCAGCGUUGAAACUUUUGUAACUCUAUUUUUGCCGCUUAGGUCGGCUAAGGAGAAAAGACUUGUAAUAUUUUGUAAAAUGAUUUUUUUUUUGGAUCCCGAAACAUGUAACUUUUGUUUGUAAGGUUAAAAUUAUUACAAGUUUAUUUUCAUUC